rnacentral:lncRNA from 1 species
CACGCAUACAUACGGUAUACAUACUCAAUGAGAGCGAUGCUCCAUCCAUCCUGAAACAUAAGACAUCGAAGGGUUCAAAAUUUGUACGCAAAUAUAAAGUACCCUAGAAUGUUUUAAAAACUAAUUAUUUCUGACCAGCUAUGAAAUCAGCAAAAUAACAACUAAACAAAAUAUUAAAUAGUGGUACAUGCGUAUUUUAUUCUCUCUUUUAAUUUAUCUUAGAAUUGCUAGAAUACCUUACAUUACAUGACGAAGGAAGUAGAACCACAUGAAAGCAAGCGUGGUCUCCUGAUGGAAACCUGCGAUCGAUCCCACUCUGCUUUCUAAUUAUUAAUUAACGUUAACGUCUGAAUCAUUCCGGGUCUUUCAGAAAAUAAAGCUGCUAAUAAUAUACGCAUGGCUAGCUAGCUUUUGGUCAACAAAUUGCAAUAAAGCGUGAAAAUAACAGAAUAAACGACUUAUCGGGUAGGGUACGGCAUUUCUUAUAACCUACCUAGUAUUAAUUUGAUGUCGGGUGUCCUGAAAGCAACCCAUGUAUUUACUACUCUACUUGCCGAUGUAUCUAUAUGCUCAAGGAAACUACUGAUUCACACAUUCCAACACCACACAUAGAAGGAACAUACAUACCUCUUGAGGCAUACCAAAGCCAAACUGUUUCUAGCAUAUCUCAUGAGAGAAAAAUCUACGUAACAGACUAACAGCAGUUGGGCAUUAUCAGAAUGACCAGGCAAAUAUGCUGCCAUGCUUUCGACACAUUGUCUGUACAACAAAUAAAUUGUGCUGCCUUCAUUACACAUUCUUUUUGGUCUAGCAAGGAACUCCAAUCCCUUUCCUCACGUCAUUCAGCACAAAUGUGGCUUGCUUGAAUGCGAAUGUAAACAACCAACUCAGGUAAUCUCUCUAUCGAUCAAUGGGGCUCAGUAGGUUGGGUCCCAGUAGUUGAGGCCAGAGACACCAAUGUCGCCUCCUACUCCAGCAGGCAGUUACAAACUCCACUCGGCACUUCAACAGGCACCAAAAGCGUCCCAUCAUAUAUGCUUCUUCCCCCUCGAAAUUAUCACAAAAAAUGGAAGUACUUGAUGCAUAUCGAUUGACUGACCAGCAACAAUGUUCUCAGCAGAGCAUCCUUGCUUCUAGACUGCUCGCUUGCUGC